GACGAACGCUGGCGGCGUGCUUAACACAUGCAAGUCGAACGGUGAUGCUCCAGCUUGCUGGAGUGGAUCAGUGGCGAACGGGUGAGUAACACGUGAGCAACCUGCCCCAGACUCUGGAAUAAGCGCUGGAAUCGGCGUCUAAUACUGGAUACGAAACUGGCCCGCAUGGGCAUGGUUUGGAAAGUUUUUCGGUUUGGGAUGGGCUCGCGGCCUAUCAGCUUGUUGGUGAGGUAAUGGCUCACCAAGGCGACGACGGGUAGCCGGCCUGAGAGGGCGACCGGCCACACUGGGACUGAGACACGGCCCAGACUCCUACGGGAGGCAGCAGUGGGGAAUAUUGCACAAUGGGCGAAAGCCUGAUGCAGCGACGCCGCGUGAGGGAUGACGGCCUUCGGGUUGUAAACCUCUUUCAGCAGGGAAGAAGCGAAAGUGACGGUACCUGCAGAAGAAGCACCGGCUAACUACGUG
rnacentral:rRNA from 1 species